UCGAACCAAUGUCCUUCCUCUCUUGGGGCAGGCUCUCUGUCCAGUACUCCACAGAUGGGUUCCCCGGAUCAAUGAAUUCAUGGAUAGGCUAGAAUGUCGUAUAUUUCUACAAACGUUCCCAACAUUAACUGUCCAGAAGGUGAGAUUUCUAAGGAACGACUUUAUUUUUUGGGGUCAUCAUUUUGGAAAAGUUGAUAUAAUCCUUUUUCACAACAUAUUGAAUACUUUUCUUGAUAAGGAUUUCUUGAUCAGGUAUCCUUUAUUUCUCAA